ACUGCUGCUGUGGCAGCUUGGUUGUCAUAUGUGUGAUGUCACUUUCUAUAAUCUCCCAGAAUGACAUGACAUGUAUGGCUACUAAACUGCUACAUGGAACAACAAUU
ensembl:miRNA Mir489 microRNA 489